GACGAACGCUGGCGGCGUGCUUAACACAUGCAAGUCGAACGGAAAGGCCCUGCUUUUGUGGGGUGCUCGAGUGGCGAACGGGUGAGUAACACGUGAGUAACCUGCCCUUGACUUUGGGAUAACUUCAGGAAACUGGGGCUAAUACCGGAUAGGAGCUCCUGCUGCAUGGUGGGGGUUGGAAAGUUUCGGCGUUUGUGGAUGGACUCGCGGCUUAUCAGCUUGUUGGUGGGGUAGUGGCUUACCAAGGCUUUGACGGGUAGCCGGCCUGAGAGGGUGACCGGCCACAUUGGGACUGAGAUACGGCGCAGACUCCUACGGGAGGCAGCAGUGGGGAAUAUUGCACAAUGGGCGGAAGCCUGAUGCAGCAACGCCGCGUGCGGGAUGACGGCCUUCGGGUUGUAAACCACUUUCGCCUGUGACGAAGCGUGAGUGACGGUAAUGGGUAAAGAAGCACCGGCUAACUACGUG
rnacentral:rRNA from 1 species